CGGUACGCGGUGCAGUACUCAUAAGCACAUUCCAAUUCGCCUGGACUCAGGGUCAGUAGUAGUAGCAUUUGUCAUCUGGAGUGCCUCCAGCAAUUCAUCAGUAUGCUGUGCAUCAGGAAGCUAGCGCUCGUUGACAGAGCCGAGCCAGGGACGGUGUGGAGCUACGACCUGAAGAAGCAAUGGUACUACGGUGAUCUUGUCGCUGUCCGCGUGCACGAUUCCAACGAGAAGGUGCUUGGAUCGACGAUCCCGGAUGUCUUUGCCCCGUCAUCGGAGGCAGGGCAGUCUACAGUGUGUGUUUCCUGGAUCAACGGAUACCCAGCGGAGGAGCCGAUGGCGUCUGAGAAAGCGCUCGAGGAGAGUCUCGGCGAGCCACCCGCUGGUGACUCACGAGGUGAGGCCGCGAUCGACGGAAGCGAUCCGCCAGAGCCUAAAGCGUCCCCGGUGACGUCGGGGAGCACGAUGAAUGGGCUCGAAAAUUUGACCACUACGCCAGAUGGCGUGGCCGAAGGCGCCAAAUACGCUGAGCCGUGCUCCGCCUCAAUUCCACCGAAGCCUGAAAUUCCUGCCGGAGGUGCCGCUGAGAGUGAUCAAACUGCAACAUCUGACAAACCCACCGCUGCUGCUAAAACCGCGACAAAGGCAGCAGAAGAUCCGUCGGUGUUGCCGAAUUCUUCGGCGGCGGCUCCAGGCUCCCCGUUCAGCGAGGCGCCCACUGCAGAGGAAAGUGGUGCUGCCUGCGUCCCGGUAUCCGCGGCUUCGGUGGCACGCAAGCCCAUAUUUAGCGGCUGCACGCCGAUCAGCAUUGCUCAGGCGCCAAAGGGUGUUCUCCACUUUCAGGUCAUUACGGUGCUCGGCACAAAGGUGGCCGUGGGAGGGGCGAAUGUACAGUCAAUCCUGGAGGCUGACACGUCGGAAUCACCCCGUGUUCAGCACUACGCUGUGCUCAUCACCCCAGCCAACACAAAUGCGGAGAGUGCCAGCACAAUUCACGCGGUGCUGGAAUUCAGCGUUGUUGUCGGGACAAUAGAUAUUGCUACCGUAGUUUCUUUAGCCGCCAGCGCUUCGUACGCACCGAUGCCCACGCCUCUCCGUGCCGGUAGCACUUGUGCUUUUUCGACCCACACCUUCUACUUCCCCUCUAAGUUUCUCACUGGGAACGGCGUCUACAUUGUGACGAAUGUGCUGUGCGCGGAGAGCUUAUCGGACAACUCCGUGCACUUGGAGUUUGCCUUGCCAGAAGACUUAAAACGGUUGCAUGUGCUGCCGGAGAAGAAGGCUGUCCUCAAAGAGCGCGGCGAGCGCGCCUACUUCACGUGCACUUGGGAUGUGCUUAGUCCCUACGUGGGCACCGCUAACGGCAAGGACUCGCAGCUUACAUCGGCUGGGCUUCAUGUUUUGAUCCGCGACGGCGCUGAAAGCAGGGCUCCUUUUGAUAUCGAACUGGUUGGUGAGCCUCCGUCAACAAACAGCGUGGGUCCUUACAUGUUUUUUGUAAACCACGCCAAAGUCACGAACAACUCUUGCAAUGCGGAUGAUGAGGCGAUCUUGAUGGACAUUUUACCUAUUUCACUCGUCACUCGUGCGGUCGCGUAGCCGGCCACUGCGACACGGAUGCCGUCAGCCGGUGGCAUGAAUCCCUCACGUCCUCAUCUGCUGCGCUGAGAGGGAGAGCCGCUGGGCCUUUGUUCUUUUCGUUUCUGCGGUCUCGGACAUCUUCCACGAGUGACAAAGCGCGACAGAGGGACGCUUUCCUUCUUUGUUCUGCCAUGCAUUUUUUUCUCACCCAUCGUGAUUUGCGCAAACUAGUUAUCUUUUCCUACUUUGUGUACCGAGGCUUAUCUUAUCCGCCCCACCUUGUCGCUUGUGCGAACAGGGGCGAGGGGGGAGGCCUGACAAAAACACGCACGGCACGCUCACCCCUUGCCUCUCCCUCCUUGUUCCUAUUUCAGAUAUGUCACUGUGGUGUUUCUCUUGCUUUUCAAUCGCUGCUCGCCGAGGUCUCUGUACAGCGCCCCUUUGCGCUGUAGAGGUCAGCCGCUUUGCUUUGUUCGAGUCUUCGUGUACAAGUGAAAGAGCCUGUCCUCCACCUUUUUCUUUUUUUUUGUCACUCGAUAGUUCAGCCCUGAUAACAGUAAGAAACACCUCAGUGCGUGGCAUCACAGGGCCCAGCACCCGCCGCGUGGGGGAGCCCAGCAGCCCCACACCCCACCGGCGCCGAACCACUUUUUGGUGGCGCCAGGGCCAGGUACCCUACGACGUGGGGUGGGGGGGGGUGAGAGCGAUUCGUGGCUACUGACGCCGGCGGCCCGGUCCUGGAUGACGUGGCGUCGGGGCGGCCUGCGACAGGGCACGCGUGUGUGCCACCCAUAUGCGUGUUAAAGUGUCGGCGCGACCCGUGCGUGCCCAACCCGGCCUUCGCGCUGCCUACUGGUUGGGGGCCCUGGGCCACCCCGAGGCAGAUGGCCCGGGUGGCGGCCGGCGCCAUCGGGGCGACCGUGGCGCGUCCAGCGGGGCGGGUGGCGGGCUGAAUGUGGGACGCGGGCCGUGCUCAGGUGGCUGCGCCGGCGUUGCCGCAGCACGUGCUUAGGGUUGCUUUUCCCCAGCCGCUGGGGCCCGCGAUGAGCAGGGCAACAUGGAGUUCGGCUUCAAGUUCACUGGAAAAAGCGCGCGCCGGAAGAAACGAAAAAACGUUUCUGGGCUAGCGCUUCGUCUUUGAAAGUGCUCGAAACUGCGUUGUCUUGUGUCUACACUACUUGUGUGUGAUCCCUGGAGUUUUUUUAUUCCGGCAUCUGUGAUGGCGUGCGCAGUGGCACGCACCGAUUCUUCUUAAACAUGCAAAAAAACGCGCCCAUUCAAAGCUUCAAUCAUCGAAAAAGGAAAGCUCUUAGAAAGACGAUAAUCGAUUAAAUUCUCUAGCAUGAGGAAGUACACUGCGAAGGAUGCAUGCAGUCUUCUU
rnacentral:misc_RNA from 1 species